GUGCUAAGGUAGCAUAAUCAUUUGUUUUUUAAUUGAAAACUGGAAUGAAAGGUUGCUCUUAUUUUAAUUUUUGUCAAACUUAAAUAAUAAAUUAAAGUUAAGGUAAGAAUUCUUUAAUUUCCUAGGGGACGAUAAGACCCUAGAAGCUUUAGAUAAAGUUGUGCUUAUAGAAAGAAGCUGACAAGUUAUUUUACUGGGGCGGUAAAAAUAAAUUUACUAUUUUUGUAUAAAAGAUCUUUAAAAUUAAGAUAAUUGGUAAUAGUUACUCUAGGGAUAACAGUGCA
rnacentral:rRNA from 1 species